GUCUUUCUCCUUUUGGGGCUGGUUUACAGGUGGUGCAUGGUUGUCGUCAGCUCGUGUCGUGAGAUGUUGGGUUAAGUCCCGCAACGAGCGCAACCCUCGUUCUAUGUUGCCAGCACGUGAUGGUGGGGACUCAUAGGAGACUGCCGGGGUCAACUCGGAGGAAGGUGGGGACGACGUCAAAUCAUCAUGCCCCUUAUGUCUUGGGCUUCACGCAUGCUACAAUGGCCGGUACAAAGGGUUGCGAUACUGUGAGGUGGAGCUAAUCCCAAAAAGCCGGUCUCAGUUCGGAUUGGGGUCUGCAACUCGACCCCAUGAAGUCGGAGUCGCUAGUAAUCGCAGAUCA
rnacentral:rRNA from 1 species